AGCGAACGCUGGCGGCAGGCCUAACACAUGCAAGUCGAACGAAGUCUUCGGACUUAGUGGCGGACGGGUGAGUAACACGUGGGAACGUGCCUUUAGGUUCGGAAUAACUCAGGGAAACUUGUGCUAAUACCGAAUGUGCCCUUCGGGGGAAAGAUUUAUCGCCUUUAGAGCGGCCCGCGUCUGAUUAGCUAGUUGGUGGGGUAAUGGCCCACCAAGGCUACGAUCAGUAGCUGGUCUGAGAGGAUGGCCAGCCACAUUGGGACUGAGACACGGCCCAAACUCCUACGGGAGGCAGCGGUGGGGAAUCUUGCGCAAUGGGCGAAAGCCUGGCGCAGCCAUGCCGCGUGGAUGAUGAAGGUCUUAGGAUUGUAAAAUCCUUUCACCGGUGAAGAUAAUGACUGUAGCCGGAGAAGAAGCCCCGGCUAACUUCGUGCCAGCCGCCGCAGUAA
rnacentral:rRNA from 1 species